GGGAAGAUAAUGACGGUACCAGGAAAACAAGCCACGGCUAACUACUGCCAGCAGCCGCGGUAAUACGUAGGUGGCGAGCGUUGUCCGGAAUUACUGGGCGUAAAGGAUGCGUAGGUGGAUAUUUAAGUGGGAUGUGAAAUCCCUGGGCUCAACCCAGGAAUGGCAUUCCAAACUGGAUAUCUGGAGUGCAGGAGAGGAAAGCGGAAUUCCUAGUGUAGCGGUGAAAUGCGUAGAUAUUAGGAGGAACACCAGUGGCGAAGGCGGCUUUCUGGACUGUAACUGACACUGAGGCAUGAAAGCGUGGGUAGCAAACAGGAUUAGAUACCCAGGUAGUCCACGCCGUAAACGAUGGGUACUAGGUGUAGGAGGUAUCGACCCCUUCUGUGCCGUCGUUAACACAAUAAGUACCCCGCCUGGGGAGUACGGUCGCAAGACUAAAACUCAAAGGAAUUGACGGGGGCCCGCACAAGCAGCGGAGCAUGGGUUUAAUUCGAAGCAACGCGAAGAGCCUUACCAGCUCUUGAC
rnacentral:rRNA from 2 species